rnacentral:rRNA from 1 species
UACGUAGGGGGCUAGCGUUGUCCGGAAUCAUUGGGCGUAAAGCGCGUGUAGGCGGUCCGGUAAGUCCGCUGUGAAAGUCGGGGGCUCAACCCUCGGAUGCCGGUGGAUACUGUCGGACUAGAGUCCGGAAGAGGCGAGUGGAAUUCCCGGUGUAGCGGUGAAAUGCGCAGAUAUCGGGAGGAACACCAAUGGCGAAGGCAGCUCGCUGGGACGGUACUGACGCUGAGGCGCGAAAGCGUGGGGAGCAAACAGG